CAACAGAUUACCCAUUACAUCCUAAUGUACAAACAAAACCCUAAUAGCACAAAGCUGCCAAUUCCAUUCUCAGAGUGAAAGUUUACAGGACCUACAAAAUCUUUCAAUCUUUCCCAAAAUUUCCUCAAAUUCCUUCAAAUGGUUGUUCAAGCCAAAGAUUGGUUCAAGGAAAGCAUGAAACAAAGAAAAAUGAGAUUGAAAAAAUACCAAACUAGCAUUGAAAUGGACCAAGAAGAUUGGUUACGUUUGGGACGGCAUUCGAGUUUUCAAACCAAUGGCUAGCUUGGUCAACAACAAGGUGUAAUGCUGGUAGGGACCCAAACGGUGGUGUUGAAAUGCCAAUCGACCGAUCGACAACAACGUGAUGAUGGCGAACCCAAGAAAUGCAAAGGAGAUAAUGGCACGCCAAAGGGAGAAAUAAGUUUCGAUGGUUGUUUAGGGGAAGAGAAAGAUGAGUAUGAGAUGUUGAGAGAAAUUUGAGAGGGAGAAGAUAAAUUGCAGUAGACAAAUGGGUGGUAAAACAGUGAGAGAAAAUGGGUUGAUAAAAGAAGAAGACUAUUUAAAUUAUGUAGUUAAUGGCAUGGAGAACAUAA
rnacentral:misc_RNA from 1 species